GAACCGAGCGAACGUUGUUCGGAAUCACUGGGCUUAAAGGGCGCGUAGGCGGGUGCUCAAGUCCGUGGUGAAAUCCUCCGGCUCAACCGGAGAACUGCCUCGGAUACUGGGCGUCUCGAGUGUGGUAGGGGUGCGCGGAACUAUCGGUGGAGCGGUGAAAUGCGUUGAUAUCGAUAGGAACUCCGGUGGCGAAGGCGGCGCACUGGACCACUACUGACGCUGAUGCGCGAAAGCCAGGGGAGCAAACGGGAUUAGAUACCCCGGUAGUCCUGGCCCUAAACGAUGGGUACUAGCUAGUAGGGUUCACAUGGCUUUACUGGCGAAGCAAAAGUGCUAAGUACCCCGCCUGGGGAGUAUGGUCGCAAGGCUGAA
rnacentral:rRNA from 1 species